GGGCAGAAAGGCUGGAGGACACAGGGCUGGGUGGAGGCGAUCCUGAUUCACUCUACUGUUUCGACAAAGGAAAGUCGCCCGGAGGGCUUGCAUCUGAAUCCCACAAACGCGCCAUGCUUUAUAUCAAAUUAAUCAAAAAGAUUAACUCGUCUUUGUUGACCCCACACCUGGGAAAUUGUGGUGGGAGCUGGCUUAUUGGAGCAGCGCUGUCCAUUUACAGACGGUUCACAGGCAAGGCUUUGGAGGUUGAAAACUACUUUGGAAGACAGUGGCUGACCUUCCUGCACACAUGAUGGAUGACUGGGGCACCUGCAGAGAGAGGCAUCUACCUAUCUUAUCUAUUGACGUCAAGUGUUCUUGAAGGCACAUUUGUUGGUGGCACAAGAAAUUCAGCAGAAAUGAGCCUUGGUAAAGAAUAAUGUCCCUAAGAACUUGCUCCUCCAAUAACCAUGGCAGAAAGCACCUGGGAAGUUUCUUACAAUGCAGUCCUCAGCUCCUGCCUGCCUAGAAGUCCUGCUCCAGUGCUGCCUAGAGUCCAUGUUUUAACAGAAACAGUGUUAGUUUCCUGGGCACUUUGGGUGGGAAUGAGCUCUGAGCUGGAGAAUGUUCAGGCUCUCUGCAUACAGAUCUACCUAGGGAAUUUUUCAUAGCCCUGGGUCCAGACCACACCCCAGAUGCACGGAUCCAGAAUGCCUGGAGGAGCAGGGAGGCUGGCUGCAGUAUAGUUCCCCAGGAUACCAGGGCCUAGGAACUCUUCUAGGCUUACCUGCCAGGUUUGGCUCCCCCGACCCUACAUCUCCAUCUCCCUGCAUACCUGCUAAUCAUGAUCUUUACCUGGUUUCCGUCUCUGCUGUGCAUCGAGAAGCUUUCACCUGCCUUCUACACUCUGUGUCCUCACCCUCUGCUCUGCAGCUUCCCCUUGCUCUCCUGCUCGUCCUCUGUGGCUUUCAGCAGGGCUGUAUCUCAGUAUCCUGGCCAGUGGCUGGGCUAUCAUCUCCUCCUGUCUGGAUCCUACCCUCCUCAGUGUGCUGUGGACUGCCUUUCAACACAUGCUGGCAGCAGGCAUCUCCAGAGUUGACACUUUACCAUCCCUGUCACUUCUUCCAUCCUUCCUCUGACUUCCUGGGGUCAGGCUUUGGGCCCUGUUAUACUACCAAACUCUUCUGACCCAUCAGUGGGUUGACCGCCGGUGGAAACACUCCUUGUUUUGGGCACUGCACCUCUCUGGUCCCCCUGCCUGGCUGCUGCACCUCCCAGACCCUCUG
ensembl:lncRNA